GCUGGGUGUGGUGGUGCAUGCCUGUAAUCCCAGCAGCUCAGGAGGCUGAGGCAGGAGGAUCGCGAGUUCAAAGCCAGCCUCAGCAAUAGCGAGGCCCUAAGCAACUCAGUGAGACCCUGUCUCUA
rnacentral:sRNA from 1 species